UGGGGAAUAUUGGACAAUGGGCGCAAGCCUGAUCCAGCCAUGCCGCGUGAGUGAUGAAGGCCCUAGGGUUGUAAAGCUCUUUCACCGGUGAAGAUAAUGACGGUAACCGGAGAAGAAGCCCCAGCUAACUUCGUGCCAGCAGCCGCGGUAAUACGAAGGGGGCUAGCGUUGUUCGGAUUUACUGGGCGUAAAGCGCACGUAGGCGGACUAUUAAGUCAGGGGUGAAAUCCCGGGGCUCAACCCCGGAACUGCCUUUGAUACUGGUAGUCUUGAGUUCGAGAGAGGUGAGUGGAAUUCCGAGUGUAGAGGUGAAAUUCGUAGAUAUUCGGAGGAACACCAGUGGCGACGGCGGCUCACUGGCUCGAUACUGACGCUGAGGUGCGAAAGCGUGGGGAGCAAACAGG
rnacentral:rRNA from 1 species